rnacentral:rRNA from 1 species
UACGUAGGGUGCGAGCGUUGUCCGGAAUUAUUGGGCGUAAAGGGCUCGUAGGCGGUCUGUCGCGUCGGGAGUGAAAACUCAGGGCUUAACCCUGAGCCUGCUUCCGAUACGGGCAGACUAGAGGUAUGCAGGGGAGAACGGAAUUCCUGGUGUAGCGGUGAAAUGCGCAGAUACCAGGAGGAACACCGGUGGCGAAGGCGGUUCUCUGGGCAUUACCUGACGCUGAGGAGCGAAAGUGUGGGGAGCGAACAGG